rnacentral:rRNA from 1 species
GAGACCUCAGGUCAGGCGGGGCUACCCGCUGAGUUUAAGCAUAUCAAAACGGGGAAAAAAAA